rnacentral:rRNA from 1 species
AACAAACGCUGGCGGCGUGCAUAACACAUGCAAGUCUAACGGGAAAGUUGGCUUCGGCUGGCGAGUACCGUGGCGAACGGGUGAGUAACACGUGGGUAAUCAAACCUCGAGUUUGGGAUAACCUUGCGAAAGCGGGGCUAAUACCGAAUAAGACCACGCCUUGUUAGCAAGGUGGGGUAAAAGGUGGCCUCUUCCUGAAAGCUAUCACUUGAGGAUGAGCCCGCGGCCUAUUAGCUAGUUGGUGGGGUAAUGGCCCACCAAGGCGACGAUGGGUAGCCGGCCUGAGAGGGUGUACGGCCACACUGGCACUGAGAUACGGGCCAGACUCCUACGGGUGGCUG